rnacentral:rRNA from 2 species
GGAGGAAUAUCGGUGGCGAAGGCGGCCCCCUGGACGAAGACUGACGCUCAGGUGCGAAAGCGUGGGGAGCAAACAGGAUUAGAUACCCUGGUAGUCCACGCCGUAAACGAUGUCGACUUGGAGGUUGUGCCCUUGAGGCGUGGCUUCCGGAGCUAACGCGUUAAGUCGACCGCCUGGGGAGUACGGCCGCAAGGUUAAAACUCAAAUGAAUUGACGGGGGCCCGCACAAGCGGUGGAGCAUGUGGUUUAAUUCGAUGCAACGCGAAGAACC